rnacentral:rRNA from 1 species
GAUGAACGCUGGCGGCGUGCCUAAUACAUGCAAGUCGAGCGAACGGACGAGAAGCUUGCUUCUCUGAUGUUAGCGGCGGACGGGUGAGUAACACGUGGAUAACCUACCUAUAAGACUGGGAUAACUUCGGGAAACCGGAGCUAAUACCGGAUAAUAUUUUGAACCGCAUGGUUCAAAAGUGAAAGACGGUCUUGCUUUCACUCAUAGAUGGAUCCGCGCUGCGUUAGCUAGUUGGUGAGGUAACGGCUUACCAAGGCAACGAUGCAUAGCCGACCUGAGAGGGUGGUCGACCAAGCUGGAACUGAGACACGGUCCAGACUCCUACGGGAGGCAGCAGUAGAGAAUCUUCCGCGAGGGGCGAAAGCCUGACGGAGCACCGCCGCAUGAGUGAUGAAGGUCUUCGGAUCGUAAAACUAUGUUAUUAGGGAAGAACAUAUGUGUAAGUAACUGUGCACAUCUUGACGGUACCUAAUCAGAAAGCCACGGCUAACUACGUG